GGUGAGGUGGCCGAGCUAGGUUGAAGGCGCACGCCUGCUAAGUGUGUAGAGGAGCUAUAACUCUUCUCCAGGGUUCGAAUCCCUGCCUCACCGCCA
rnacentral:tRNA from 1 species